CCUACGGGCGGCAGCAGUGGGGAAUAUUGGACAAUGGGCGCAAGCCUGAUCCAGCCAUGCCGCGUGUGUGAAGAAGGCCUUCGGGUUGUAAAGCACUUUCAGUAGGGAGGAAGGGUUAAGUGUUAAUAGUACUUAACUUUGACGUUACCUACAGAAGAAGCACCGGCUAACUCUGUGCCAGCAGCCGCGGUAAUACAGAGGGUGCAAGCGUUAAUCGGAAUUACUGGGCGUAAAGCGCACGUAGGCGGUUUUUUAAGUCAGAUGUGAAAGCCCCG
rnacentral:rRNA from 1 species